GUAUAAACAAAUCUAUACGUGAAACUGCGAAUGGCUCAUUAUAUCAGUUAUAGUUUAUUUGAUGGUUCUUGCUACUUGGAUAACCGUAGUAAUUCUAGAGCUAAUACAUGCGUCAAACCCCGACUUCUGGGAGGGGUGUAUUUAUUAGAUGGAAACCAAUGCGGGGCAACCCGGUAUAUGGUGAUUCAUAAUAACUUUCGGAUCGAUCUUCGGAUCGAUGCAUCAUUCAAGUUUCUGCCCUAUCAGCUUUGGAUGGUAGGGUAUUGGCCUACCAUGGCUUUAACGGGUAACGGAGAAUUAGGGUUCGAUUCCGGAGAGGGAGCCUGAGAAAUGGCUACC
rnacentral:rRNA from 1 species